rnacentral:rRNA from 1 species
UACAGGGGGGGCAAGCGUUGUUCGGAAUUACUGGGCGUAAAGGGUCUGUAGGUGGCCAACUAAGUCAGACGUGAAAUCCCUCAGCUUAACUGGGGAACUGCGUCUGAUACUGGAUGGCUUGAGUGUGGGAGAGGAAUGCGGAAUUCCAGGUGUAGCGGUGAAAUGCGUAGAUAUCUGGAGGAACACCGGUGGCGAAGGCGGCAUUCUGGACCAUAACUGACACUGAGAGACGAAAGCCAGGGGAGGCAAACGGG